rnacentral:tRNA from 1 species
GCGUCAUGGAGCAGUUUGGUAGCUCGUCAGGCUCAAGUGUUAACCAGCACAUUGAAAUAACCUGGAGGACAACAGUUCGAAUCUGUUUGACGCCU